UGGCAUUGAAGUCCCCCGCUACGAUGAC
rnacentral:sRNA from 1 species